rnacentral:tRNA from 1 species
AGCAGCGUGGCUCAGUGGAAAGAACCUGGGCUUGGGAGUCAGAGGUCAUGGGUUCGAAUCCCAGCUCUGCCA